GAUGAAGAACGUAGCGAAAUGCGAUACGUAAUGUGAAUUGCAGAAUUCAGUGAAUCAUCGAAUCUUUGAACGCAUAUUGCGCUCUCUGGUAUUCCGGAGAGCAUGCUUGUUUGAGUAUCAGUAAACACCUCAACUCCCCUUUCUUUUUUUGAAAUGGGAGCUGGACUUGAGUGAUCCCAACGCUUUUCUCACCGAAAAGUGGCGGGUUACUUGAAAUGCAGGUGCAGCUGGACUUUUCUCUGAGCUAAAAGCAUAUCUAUUUAGUCUGCCUAAAAAACAGAUUAUUACCUUUGCUGCAGCUAACAUAAAGGAGAUUAGUUCUUGUGCUGACUGAUGCAGGAUUCACAGAGACAGCUUCGGCUGGCCUUUGUAAACUCGAUCUCAAAUCAAGUAAGACUACCCGUUGAACUUAAGCAUAUCAAUAAGCGGAGGA
rnacentral:misc_RNA from 1 species